CUCCCUCCCCCAGAGGCUGCUGUGACAAUCCAGAUCUAGGGGAGAAUUCUCAAGAGAUAUGGCUGUGCUCGGCCAGUGUGCGCUGAUGAGCAGGGAACUGACUGUCCUGAUGGUCUGGAUUCCUAAGUGAGGUGUUUGGACCUUGCCUGCUGCAGUGCCCGUGUAGUUUGCACUGUGCAGGUGCUGAAUGAAGAGUCUAAAUAAUCUGGAAAGCAAGAUUUCUGACUGUACUAUGGCAUGUUUUCAGGAGGAGUGCAACUUACUUGUUCUAAUUCUUAAUAUGAUGUUAGCUAGUACAUCAUAUAAUGGAAUAGGUGAUGGAAAUACAUUGUUUGGAGAGCUACUAAAAGGAGUUGAAGAGAUGGCCUUUGGGUCCUUCUGUCUGUUUGUGGAUCCACCCAUGAAGGCCAUAACAAUGUGUAUAUCAGAGAUUUGAAGAGUUCAGAGUCUGCCUGAAAGCUAAUUUUCAACUCCAUCCUUUCAUGUGCUUUACGGGAGAUUAAGAUGAAAUUAGUGCAGGAAGGAUACUGCUCAAGAUCAUUUUAAGAUUUUCCAAGGCUCACCAGCUUGUUGACCUGUAAACCACCUUUAGCUGGACAGAUGUACCAGCUAGAACAUGAUCUGUCUCUGCAGGAAGACAUUGGACCUCUGACCUCUUUUGUAGCUAUUCCAGGCAAAUAUAAUAAACAGGGUUCAC
rnacentral:lncRNA from 7 species